GACAGAGGUGCCGAGCGUUAGGCGGAAUCACUGGGCUUAAAGCGUGUGUAGGCGGGCGGGCAAGUACCUUGUGAAAUCCCACGGCUCACCCGUGGAACGGCUGGGCAUACUGGGAGUCUUGAGCCACCUAGGGGCUGCCGGAACAAAUGGUGGAGCGGUGAAAUGCGUAGAUAUCAGGAGGAACACCUGUGGUGUAGACAGCUUACUGGACCACUCCUGACGCUGAGACACGAAAGCGUGGGUAGCGAACAGG
rnacentral:rRNA from 1 species